GUGCUCGCUUCGGAAGCACAUAUACUAAAAUUGGACCGAUACAGAGAUUAUCAUGGCCCCUGUGCAAGGGUGACACGCAAAUUCAUAAAGCAUUCAGUAUUUUU